UUUGGUGUUUUAUCGUAGCCAUUUUGAAAAAAAUCAAUGUGCAGACGAACGCGUUCCAUUAAUACCGCGUAACUGAAUCGUGUUUUCAAUUUAAUCGGUCCAUGUUAUUCUGGAACACAUCAAAUCCGUUGGUAAAAAUAAAAGGACACGGAUGAGAAGACCCCGUUUGAAAUUUAUAUGGAAACACCAAAAUCACCAUCAAGUUAAAUGUUCCGCGGUUCGUCGUAAUCAGCCACAACAAACGAAGCUGAAAACUAUCUGGAAGCGGUCCUCACUCAAUAAUCCGGGUUUUAUCAUUUCGGUGCGAAAUGCGAGAUACUAUGACGACUGUUUUUUUCACCAUCCGGAAAGAGCUGAAACCCAAGGCGAGUUUAACCCGUUAAGGUCAUUCUUCCUCGCCACUGGACUAAUUGAAAAACAUCACCCACCGGUCAUAAAUAAAUUAUUCCCAAGGCCAUUUGCUGAAGCUUCGGAUUUACAAAAUGCCACCCAUGCAUAUGGGAUCACCACUUCCGGAGUUGUUCGGCUAAAAAAUAUUCAGUUAAAAAAUAACCAUUUUUUGCUUCUCCGCUCUUUCUGGUUAAGUUUGAAAAAUAACCAUAUUUCUAUUGGCAUUUCCCGGGAAAAGGUCAAAAAUGGUUAUUUUUGAAUCUUAAAUGGUUCAAUAGUGUCUAGCGUGAUGUAAUUUUUGA